rnacentral:rRNA from 1 species
GUGAGUAAUAUAUAGUUAAUCUGCCUUAGAGAUGGGAAUAAUUGUUGGAAACGACUUGUAAGACCCGAUAUGCCUUUAGUACAUAAGUACGCAAGGGAAACAUUUAUGGCUCUAAGAUGAGACUGUACAGUAUCAGAUAGUUGGUAGGGUAAUGGCCUACCAAGUCUAUGACGCUUAACUGGUUUGAGAGGAUGAUCAGUCACACUGGAACUGAGACACGGUCCAGACUCCUACGGGAGGCAGCAGUGGGGAAUAUUGCGCAAUGGACGAAAGUCUGAUGCAGCAACGCCGCGUGGAGGAUGACACAUUUCGGUGCGUAAACUCCUUUUAUAUGAGAAGAUAAUGACGGUAUCAUAUGAAUAAGCACCGGCUAACUUCGUGCCAGCAGCCGCGGUAAUACGAGGGGUGCAAGCGUUACUCGGAAUCACUGGGCGUAAAGAGAAUGUAGGCGGGUAAUUAAGUUGGAAGUGAAAUCCUAUGGCUCAACCAUAGAACUGCUUCCAAAACUGAUUACCUAGAGUAUGGGAGAGGUAGAUGGAAUUUCUGGUGUAGGGGUAAAAUCCGUAGAGAUCAGAAGGAAUACCGAUUGCGAAGGCGAUCUACUGGAACAUUACUGACGCUCAGAUUCGAAAGCGUGGGGGGCAAACAGGAUUAGAUACCCUGGUAGUCCACGCCCUA